AUUAAGAAGAGAGAGACAUCAAAGAUGGAGCUGUGUUUAGCUUCUCGCUCAUCAGAGACCUUACCCGGCAGAGCUGCUUGAGGGGCUUGCUGCCAUGCGGUUUUGCUCAAAAUAGCUAGAGCACACACGUGAUAGGUGGAAAUCUCUUGCUUCUUGGCUUGAUUUGGUUCAGUUUUUAUUACUGAUUUGGUUUGUUUGCAGGGUCGCUUUGGUUUACAGGGAGGAGAGGCUGAGGCUGAUGCUUCUAGAGUUGGUGUACGUUGCGUAGAGAGAGGUGAGGAUCUCACUCCAGUAUCUUGUAAGUCUGGAGUAGGACAAUACGUUGGGCCUUUUCAUUAAUGGAUGUUGUUUCUGCAUGUAUCUUGACUAUAUAUUCGAUCCGAUGCAUUACUUUAUUUUCUAGAAACUUUACUCUUAGGGUAAGUGCAAGUAAAAUGUCGGUUCACAUUGGAAAAAUUCACUCAGCGUUGUCCUUCUGUUUCAUGCAUGAUGCAAUAACCAUAAAACAUGUUUGGCACCAUGGAAGCCACAAGGUUACAGAACUAGAGACAUGUAACCUACUUAAUGCCUUAUAUCUGUCUUCCUAUGUUUAAAUAUUUAGAUAUUUUUCUCUAAAUUAUUUAGAUAUUUUUCGAUCAUGUACCGCCUCUCACUGAUUAUUUAUUUAUAGCAAAUCCAUGAAGUUUAUGAUUUUCGCAUAUAGCUAUUGUUUUACUUUUGCCUUGUUGUGACCUGUGAGUACAAUUAGUCUUCUGGCUAAAUUCUUGUUUUAUAUUCCCACGUCAUCUUAGAUAUUUCAUUCAUUGUCACUACUCUUAAUUUUGGUUUACAAAUUUGCCAUGGGUUAAUGAAUUUUUCAGGUUCUACUGAAUUUUUCAUGUUGAAUUUGAUUGUAUACAUACUUGCUAAUCCAAUUAUAGAUAGCUAAAUAAAUUGAAGAUGAUGCCACUUUGUGCAUUGUACAUCUAUUGGAAAUGGCAAUAUUUACAUGACCAACACUUUCCCAUUCAGUUUAGUCUGCUAUUCUGCUUGUACUAUCAUUUCUUCAGAUAUAUAGAUUUUUUGUUCUACUAAACUCUCAUGCUACUUGAAGUUUACGUAGAGAGUUUCGGUGGAGCAAAGCAGAAAGGAGUUCAGUGCGAAGGAGAAUAGGAGGGAGGAGAGAUCUGGACGCACCAAGACAAACAAGCGAGCUGAUCAUGCCGCCAACCUUGUUCUGUGCGGCUCGCUGGAGCCAGACGAUGAGUCCUUGCCUGCCUCUGGCCCUCCUAACAAUUGCUGUGAACCCUGUUAUGCGCCCUUGGCUGAUCAGCCAAUCUUACUAUACCUUUCCCCCUCCCGGGUCAUCAUGCUCAGGCCCUAGCUUGCAUCUUGUGAGUUUUAAUUAAUACUCCCUCCGUCCGGAAAUACUUGUCCUCGAAAUGGUUGUAUCUAGACUUAUUUUAGUUAUAGAUACAUCCAUUUUAUCCAUUUGUAGGACAAGUAUUUCCGGACGGAGGGAGUACAACAAAAUAUCGCACGUACUUUUGUUAGUUUACUUCACUUUUGCUAGCUUGUUGAUACUUUGCACAAAAUUGCUAGAGAAAUAGGCACAUCAAUUAAAUGAUUAUACAUAUAAGUCGAUGGUGGUAUUUUUUCAGAAAAAUUACAUGCAUUUCUAUGAUUCUCCAUUUUCCAGAUUCUUCCUGCAUUUAUGUGAUUAAUUGAAAUACCAUUCUAAAUGCAUUUGCUUACUAGGAUAAUUUAAAUUUCUGGAUAAAAUUUCACUGUAGUAUAUCUUUUGUCAAUAAAUAUAUGUUUUGCGUUUCAUGCUGUGCGGCAUAUUUUUCUUACAAACUAUUAUGUUACUGAAAAAAGUUGUUCAGGUAAUGAUGGUAUCUCACGUAGUGGUUAAUGGUGAUUUUUUAUUUCACCAUUUGUUCUUCCUCGAGUACCUGUUCUUUUUUUCACUCUGUUGUAAGUUGACGAUAUGCCCCUUUUGUGUGACACUUUUUCUUUCCUAUACAGGAAGGACUUGGCGCAGUUGUGACGUUAAUGAACAACACUCCAAUCAGGGACCACAGUGACCUCGGGGAGGAGAUCAAGAGAAUCAACAACCCUUGGUGGUUUUCCUCAUCAUCGGCACAACUGCAAUCAGCAACAAUGAUGACCAGCUCACAAGGCAGCUACUGAACCGUUCGAGCCUUGUUGCAAAGACAACAUGGAGACCGAGAGUGAUCCAGAGAGAGGGGGGAGACCGGGAGAGGGAGGAAGAGUGUUCGAGAGAGGGAAUGAGGGAGAGUGAGGAGGAAGAAACCUUGCAAGUACACAUUGGUAGGACAACCAUAUUCUAAAAUAAAAAAUGGGAUUUGGUGGCAAGCCAUCAUUGUCUUUGUUCCCGGUGUCUGUCACACACGAUAACUUUAAUGUCGAAUGCAUAAUGGAUGCAUUCUUAAAUUAUUUGAUUAUAGAAUUUUUAGCUCUUGAUAUUCACAUAUCAUUCUGAGAAACAUUUUUGGUUGAGAGAAGAAAACAAAGGAAUAAAAGGAGAGUGAUUUACUGUUAAAAAAGAAGUCGCCAAGGCAGGCUGGUGUGCAAGAUGAUUUUGAAU
rnacentral:lncRNA from 1 species